UGGGGAAUAUUGGACAAUGGGGGGAACCCUGAUCCAGCCAUGCCGCGUGUGUGAAGAAGGCCUUAUGGUUGUAAAGCACUUUAAGCGAGGAGGAGGGUACUGUUAUUAAUACUACCAGCUACUGGACGUUACUCGCAUAAUAAGCACCUGCUAACUCUGUGCUAGCAGCCGCGGUAAUACAGAGGGUGCGAGCGUUAAUCGGAUUUACUGGGCGUAAAGCGUGCGUAGGCGGCUAAUUGAGUCGGAUGUGAAAUCCCCGAGCUUAACUUGGGAAUUGCAUUCGAUACUGGUGAGCUAGAGUGUGGGAGAGGAUGGUAGAAUUCCAGGUGUAGCGGUGAAAUGCGUAGAGAUCUGGAGGAAUACCGAUGGCGAAGGCAGCCAUCUGGCCUAACACUGACGCUGAGGUACGAAAGCAUGGGGAGCAAACAGG
rnacentral:rRNA from 1 species